CGCCCCAAGCUCGUGUCCCUCCCCCGGCUCUCGUUGCUUACCAGGAGACUCAGCUCCGGCUACUGUCCGCAACUUACGACGUGGCCCCAGCCCUGCACAUCCCCGUCUUCAGCUUGGGAGCUGGGGUAGUGGCUAUGCCUUUGCCCUAGGGGGGCUUCUUGGUGGUGGCGGGGGACCUACCUUCGGCUCUCUCCACCUGCUCCACCCGGGGACCAGCCCUGCGGAGGGCUGGGCGAGAGAGGCGAGGGGGCGGCGGGCCGCAGCCCGGGGCUAAGCCCACCGCCUGCCCCCUCCUUCCGAGGGAGGCUUCACUCAGCUCGGCUUGGCUCGAGCGGCGGCGGCGGCCGUUACCGGCUGCGGCGGCGGUGGCCCCACGGUUCCAACCGCCGAGGCUACUCCGGCCCCGUGCUGACAGAAGCGCCCUCGGCUGGUAGGCGGGCAGGGGGCGGGCCGGGAGCUCGUGCGCCCCCUUCUCUUCCCCCUCCCGGCGGGCAGGCGGGCGCGCGCUAAGGGGCGGAGGGGGGCAGCGCCGCAGGGACGGUUUUGAGGCUGGGCGCGCGCCGCCUGGUGGAGGGGGAAGGGAGGAGGCACGCGGGGCGGGGUGAGUUGGGGGGCGGGCGAGAAACAGCGCGUGGUGUUAGCAAGCGGUGAGGGCGACGGGCUGGCGGGCUGGGGCAGGAGUCGGGGUGACCCGGAAUGGGGCGCAAUGUAGCAGCUCCGGCCUGACGCAGGCAGGUUGGGGAAUACCAAUGAGCGCCCCCCCCGCCAAGCCCGGGGACUGCAGAGCCUGAGACUGCACCAGCCAGUCCGUCCGACUGGCACCAGCAAGGACACUUCAUAAAUUCAAGAGGUCAAGAACUCCUCUAUUCCACAGCUGGAGCUGACGGGAACCUAGAGUUUUCUGCAACUAUGCCCUCCUAGUGUAAGAUGACAAGAGGAUAAACUCAAGUCCAUGAACUUUAAGGGAGUUAUUUAUAUAGUAUAGAGCCAAGGUGAAGGUAAAUUGGCUAUCAGUGUCUCAAAAUGUUUCACAUUUUAUGCUUUAAGCUUUGACUUCCUGGGAGAGAAUAAUAGAAGCAAAUAGGUUAUUAUUUCAUAUUUUAGGACUUUGUUAAUGUGUGUUUCUGAGUCUUUUAUGAUUUAUGCGUUACUUUUAUGUGGAGGAAAUAAAUAACUGUCCUAUACUCGA